GCCUUGCCCCCGUGCGGCGGCAACCUGUGAACCUCCCCAGGGCCGGAAGGCAGCAAGGAUAAGCGGGCUCUACCGGGUGCACGGGGGCGCUAACGA
rnacentral:SRP_RNA from 1 species